UGAUAGAAGGCAACAUUUUCCGGGACAU
rnacentral:sRNA from 1 species